CAGCAGCCACGGGAAUACGAAGGGUGCAAGCGUUACUCGGAAUUACUGGGCGUAAAGCGUGUGUAGGUGGUUGUUUAAGUCUGUCGUGAAAGCCCUGGGCUCAACCUGGGAAUUGCGAUGGAUACUGGGCGACUAGAGUGCGGUAGAGGAUAGUGGAAUUUCCGGUGUAGCAGUGAAAUGCGUAGAGAUCGGAAGGAACAUCUGUGGCGAAGGCGACUAUCUGGGCCAACACUGACACUGAGACACGAAAGCGUGGGGAGCAAACAGGAUUAGAUACCCCCGUAGUCCCUGUCUCUUAUAA
rnacentral:rRNA from 1 species